CGGGAUGGACUGACCUCUGGUGCAUCGGUUGAGCCACCAGGCUCAUGGCCGAGUAGCCAAGUCGGGACGGGAUAAACGCUGAAGGCAUCUAAGCGUGAAGCCCCCCUCAAGAUGAGAUAUCCCAUAGAGUUAAUCUAGUAAGACCCCUUGAAGACGACGAGGUAGAUAGGCAGAAGGUGGAAGUGUGGUGACAUAUGGAGCUGAUCUGUACUAAUAGGUCGAGGGCUUAACCG
rnacentral:rRNA from 1 species